rnacentral:rRNA from 1 species
UACGAAGGGGGCUAGCGUUGUUCGGAAUUACUGGGCGUAAAGCGCGCGCAGGCGGUUUUCCAAGUCAGUGGUGAAAGCCCGGAGCUCAACUCCGGAACUGCCAUUGAAACUGGCGAACUUGAGUACGAGAGAGGUGAGUGGAAUUCCCAGUGUAGAGGUGAAAUUCGUAGAUAUCGGGAGGAACACCGGUGGCGAAGGCGGCGAUCUGGGUCGAUACUGACGCUGAGGUGCGAAAGCGUGGGGAGCAAACAGG